GUGACAUGGAUGUGGCAUAUUUGUUGGACUUACACAGCCUUGCAUUUUAUUUUCAUCUCUGUUCCUUCCUCCCAUGAGAUCUUGGGUGGUGUUUAUCAACCCUGAGUAAUCGUUUCUUUGUCUGCAAGAUGGAAUAAAAAGGCCUACCUCAUUGGGCUCGUGUGGGUGAGGAGAACUGAAGAGUCUGAGAGCGCGGCACGAGCCAGAGGCUACGGAAAACACUGCCCUCCUACACUCCACCUUGGAGAGACCCAGAAAAGAACAAGCUUCAUUUGUAAAAAAGGAAAACAACUCAGGCAAUGGGGGUGGCUUAAAGGCACUCUACAGUGUGCAGAUGCCUUCCACUUCUUCCAUCUGCCCUGUCUCUCCAAGAACCCCUAUGGCCCCGGUCUCAGAACAGAGCUGAGUGCAGAAAUGAAAAUCUAUGGCUCUGUGUUCCAAAACGAUGAAGAAUUUCAAGAUGGUGGCAGUGGUAAAAUCUUUCUCCAGGAAAAAUCUGUCCUUGGCCCAAUGUGUAAACACUUGCUGAGGUACUGUGGAGCUUCAUAAUGC
rnacentral:lncRNA from 1 species